AGAGUUUGAUCCUGGCUCAGGACGAACGCUGGCGGCGUGCUUAACACAUGCAAGUCGAGCGGAAAGGCCCUUCGGGGUACUCGAGCGGCGAACGGGUGAGUAACACGUGAGCAACCUGCCCCUAGCUCUGGGAUAGCUCCGGGAAACCGGGAUUAAUACCGGAUACGACCUUUACUGGCAUCGGUAAAGGUGGAAAGAUU
rnacentral:rRNA from 1 species